UAGGGAAUAUUGGGCAAUGGUCGAAAGACUGACCCAGCCACGCCGCGUGCAGGAGGAAGGCCCUCUGGGUUGUAAACUGCUUUAGCAGGGGAAGAAAAGGCCGAUGCGUCGGACAUUGACGGUACCCUGAGAAUAAGCACCGGCUAACUACGUGCCAGCAGCCGCGGUAAUACGUAGGGUGCAAGCGUUGUCCGGAUUUAUUGGGUUUAAAGGGUGCGUAGGCGGCCUGCUAAGUCAGUGUUUAAAUUCUGCAGCUCAACUGUAGGUAUGGCAUUGAUACUGGCGGGCUUGAAUAUUAAGGAGGUAGCUGGAAUUUAUGGUGUAGCGGUGAAAUGCAUAGAUACCAUAAGGAACACCGAUAGCGGAGGCAUGUUACCACUUGAUUAUUGACGCUGAGGCA
rnacentral:rRNA from 1 species